CACGUAGGGCGCAAGCGUUGUCCGGAAUUAUUGGGCGUAAAGCGUGCGCAGGCGGUUCGUUGUGUCGGUGGUGAAAUCCCCGGGCUUAACCUGGGAAUGGCCAUGGAAACUGGCGAACUGGAGUGCGGCAGAGGGGGGUGGAAUUCCGCGUGUAGCAGUGAAAUGCGUAGAGAUGCGGAGGAACACCGGUGGCGAAGGCGGCCCACUGGAUCGGUACUGACGCUGAGGUGCGAAAGCGUGGGGAGCAAACAGG
rnacentral:rRNA from 1 species